GAGGAACCUUCGGGUUUAGUGGCGAACGGGUGAGUAACACGUAAGCAACCUGCCCUUAAGACGAGGAUAACAAUUGGAAACAAUUGCUAAGACUGGAUAGGAAAAGUAAAGGCAUCUUUNCUUUUUUAAAAGAUCUUCUUUGAAGGUAUGCUUAAGGAGGGGCUUGCGACACAUUAGUUAGUUGGCAGGGUAAAGGCCUACCAAGACUAUGAUGUGUAGCUGGACUGAGAGGUUGAACAGCCACAUUGGGACUGAGACACGGCCCAAACUCCUACGGGAGGCAGCAGUAGGGAAUUUUCGGCAAUGGAGGAAACUCUGACCGAGCAACGCCGCGUGAACGAUGAAGUACCUCGGUAUGUAAAGUUCUUUUAUUAAGGAAGAAAAAAGAGUGGAAAAACUCCCUUGACGGUACUUAAUGAAUAAGCCCCGGCUAAUUAUGUGCCAGCAGCCGCGGUAAUACAUAAGGGGCGAGCGUUAUCCGGAAUUAUUGGGCGUAAAGGGUGCGUAGGCGGUUUAAUAAGUCUAUAGUUUAAUUUCAGUGCUUAACGCUGUUGUGCUAUAGAAACUGUUUUACUAGAGUGAGAUAGAGGCAAGCGGAAUUCCAUGUGUAGCGGUAAAAUGCGUAAAUAUAUGGAGGAACACCAGAGGCGUAGGCGGCUUGCUGGGUCUUUACUGACGCUGAGGCACGAAAGCGUGGGGAGCAAACAGGAUUAGAUACCCUGGUAGUCCACGCCGUAAACGAUGAGUACUAAGUGUCGGGUAAAACUGGUACUGAAGUUAACACAUUAAGUACUCCGCCUGAGUAGUACGUACGCAAGUAUGAAACUUAAAGGAAUUGACGGGACUCCGCACAAGCGGUGGAUCAUGUUGGUUUAAUUCGAAGAUACACGAAAAACCUUACCAGGUCUUGACAUUUUCUUGCGAAAUUAUAGAAAUAUAAUGGAGGUUAUCAGGAAAACAGGUGGUGCAUGGUUGUCGUCAGCUCGUGUCGUGAGAUGUUAGGUUAAGUCCUAAAACGAGCGCAACCCUUGUCGUUAAUUGCCAGCAUGUAAUGAUGGGGACUUUAACGAGACUGCCAAUGAAAAAUUGGAGGAAGGUGGGGAUUACGUCAAAUCAUCAUGCCCCUUAUGAUCUGGGCUACAAACGUGAUACAAUGGUUGAUACAAAGAGUAGCUGAAACGCGAGUUCUUAGCCAAUCUCAAAAAAUCAAUCUCAGUUCGGAUUGAAGUCUGCAACUCGACUUCAUGAAGUUGGAAUCGCUAGUAAUCGCGAAUCAGCAUGUCGCGGUGAAUACGUUCUCGGGGUUUGUACACACCGCCCGUCAAACCACGAAAGUUGGCAAUGCCCCAAAGCGGUCACCUAACUUCGCAAGAAGAAGGAUCCGUCUAAGGUAGGGUCGAUAAUUGGGGUUAAGUCGUAACAAGGUAUCCCUACCGGAAGGUGGGGAUGGAUCACCUCCUUU
rnacentral:rRNA from 1 species